rnacentral:rRNA from 1 species
CGGGACGGGUGGGUAAUGCUUGGGAAUCUGGCUUAUGGAGGGGGAUAACUACGGGAAACUGUAGCUAAUACCGCGUAGUAUCGGAAGAUGAAAGUGCGGGACCGUAAGGCCGCAUGCCAUGGGAUGAGCCCAAGUGGGAUUAGGUAGUUGGUGGGGUAAAGGCCUACCAAGCCUGCGAUCUCUAGCUGGUCUGAGAGGAUGGCCAGCCACACUGGAACUGAGACACGGUCCAG